rnacentral:rRNA from 1 species
CCUACGGGAGGCAGCAGUGGGGAAUUUUGGACAAUGGGCGCAAGCCUGAUCCAGCAAUGCCGCGUGCAGGAUGAAGGCCUUCGGGUUGUAAACUGCUUUUGUACGGAGCGAAACGGUCAACUUUAAUACAGUGGGCUAAUGACGGUACCGUAAGAAUAAGCACCGGCUAACUACGUGCCAGCAGCCGCGGUAAUACGUAGGGUGCGAGCGUUAAUCGGAAUUACUGGGUGUAAAGCGUGCGCAGGCGGUUAUAUAAGACAGAUGUGAAAUCCCCGGGCUCAACCUGGGACCUGCAUUUGUGACUGUAUAGCUAGAGUACGGUAGAGGGGGAUGGAAUUCCGCGUGUAGCAGUGAAAUGCGUAGAUAUGCGGAGGAACACCGAUGGCGAAGGCAAUCCCCUGGACCUGUACUGACGCUCAUGCACGAAAGCGUGGGGAGCAAACAGGAUUAGAUACCCUGGUAGUCCACGCCCUAAACGAUGUCAACUGGUUGUUGGGUCUUCACUGACUCAGUAACGAAGCUAACGCGUGAAGUUGACCGCCUGGGGAGUACGGCCGCAGGUUGAAACUCAAAGGAUUGACGG